rnacentral:rRNA from 1 species
GAUGAACGCUAGCUACAGGCUUAACACAUGCAAGUCGAGGGACCGGCGCACGGGUGAUUAACACGUCUCCAACCUGCCCUUUACUCGGGGAUAGCCUUUCGAAAGAAAGAUUAAUACCCGAUAUAAAGGAUGGUGAUGCGUUCCAUUAGGUUGUUGGUGAGGUAACGGCUCCACAAGCAUUCGAUGGAUAGGGGUUCUGAGAGUAAGGUCCCCCACAUUUGAACGUAGACACGGUCCAAACUCCUACGGGAGGAAGCAGUGAGGAAUAUUGUUCAAUGGGCGCUAGCCUGAACCAGCCAAUUAGCGUGAAGGAUGAAGGCUUAUGGGUCGUAAACUUCUUUUAUAUAAGAAUAUGUAUUAUAUGAAUAAGGAUCGGCUAACUCCGUGCCAGCAGCCGCGGUAAUAC